rnacentral:rRNA from 1 species
GGCGAGUUUGAUCAUGGCUCAGAACGAACGCUGGCGGCAGGCUUAACACAUGCAAGUCGAGCGCCCCGCAAGGGGAGCGGCAGACGGGUGAGUAACACGUGGGAACGUACCCUUUACUACGGAAUAACGCAGGGAAACUUGUGCUAAUACCGUAUGUGCCCUUCGGGGGAAAGAUUUAUCGGUAAGGGAUCGGCCCGCGUUGGAUUAGCUAGUUGGUGGGGUAAAGGCCUACCAAGGCGACGAUCCAUAGCUGGUCUAAGAGGAUGAUCAGCCACACUGGGACUGAGACACGGCCCAGACUCCUACGGGAGGCAGCAGUGGGGAAUCUUGCGCAAUGCGCGAAAGCGUGACGCAGCAACGCCGCGUGGGGGAAGACGGCCUUCGGGUUGUAAACCCCUUUCAGGAGGGACGAAGGUCCGCCCGCGAAUAGCGAGGCGGAUUGACGGUACCUCCAGAAGAAGCCCCGGCUAACUACGUGCCAGCAGCCGCGGAA